AUUGAACGCUGGCGGCAUGCUUUACACAUGCAAGUCGAACGGUAACAGGCCUUCGGGUGCUGACGAGUGGCGAACGGGUGAGUAAUGCAUCGGAACGUACCCAGAGGUGGGGGAUAACGCAGCGAAAGCUGUGCUAAUACCGCAUGUGAUCUGAGGAUGAAAUCGGGGGACCGAGCAGCAAUGUUUGGCCUCGCGCCUUUGGAGCGGCCGAUGUCGGAUUAGCUAGUUGGUGGGGUAAAGGCCUACCAAGGCGACGAUCCGUAGCUGGUCUGAGAGGACGACCAGCCACACUGGGACUGAGACACGGCCCAGACUCCUACGGGAGGCAGCAGUGGGGAAUUUUGGACAAUGGGCGCAAGCCUGAUCCAGCAAUGCCGCGUGCGGGAAGAAGGCCUUCGGGUUGUAAACCGCUUUUGGCAGGAACGAAACGGUGUCCGCUAAUACCGGGCGCUAAUGACGGUACCUGCAGAAUAAGCACCGGCUAACUACGUG
rnacentral:rRNA from 1 species